CAGUAGCGCGGUAACACGUAAGGUGCGAGCGUUGUUCGGAAUUAUUGGGCGUAAAGGGCAUGCAGGCGGUCGUGCAAGCCCGGCGUGAAAGGUGGGGGCUCAACUCCCAAACUGCGCUGGGAACUGCAAGGCUUGAGUUUCUGAAGGGCAGCCGGAAUUCCACGUGUAGGGGUGAAAUCUGUAGAUAUGUGGAAGAACACCAAUGGCGAAGGCAGGCUACCGGCAGAAGACUGACGCUGGGGUGCGAAGGUGCGGGGAGCAAACAGGAUUAGAUACCCCCGUAGUCCCUGUCUCUUAUACA
rnacentral:rRNA from 1 species